rnacentral:misc_RNA from 1 species
AACUUUCAACAAUGGAUCUCUUGGCUCUCGCAUCGAUGAUGAACGCAGCGAAAUGCGAUAAGUAAUGUUAAUUGCAGAAUUCAGUGAAUCAUCGAAUCUUUGAACGCACCUUGCGCUCCUUGGUAUUCCGAGGUGCAUGCCUGUUUGAGUGUCAUUAAAUUCUCAACCUUUUCAGCUUUUGCGAGUUGAAUUUGGCUUGGAUGUGGGGGCUGCGGGCUUCUCAGAAGUCGGCUCCUCUUAAAUGCAUUAGCCGAACCUUUGUGGACCAGCUUUGGUGUGAUAAUUAUCUACGCUAUUGCUGUGAAGCAGCUUUACAUGGGGUUCAGCUUCUAACUGUCCAUUAACUUGGACAAUUUUUGACAUUUUGACCUCAAAUCAGGUAGGACUACCCGCUGAACUUAAGCAUAUCAAUAAGCGGAGGCA